UACGUAGGGGGCUAGCGUUGUCCGGAAUCAUUGGGCGUAAAGAGCGUGUAGGCGGUCCGGUAAGUCCGCUGUGAAAGUCGGGGGCUCAACCCUCGAAUGCCGGUGGAUACUGUCGGGCUAGAGUGCGGAAGAGGCGAGUGGAAUUCCUGGUGUAGCGGUGAAAUGCGCAGAUAUCAGGAAGAACACCUAUGGCGAAAGCAGCUCUCUGGGACGGUACUGACGCUGAGACGCGAAAGCGUGGGGAGCGAACAGG
rnacentral:rRNA from 1 species